rnacentral:rRNA from 1 species
AUUGAACGCUGGCGGCAUGCUUUACACAUGCAAGUCGAACGGCAGCGCGGGCUUCGGCCUGGCGGCGAGUGGCGAACGGGUGAGUAAUACAUCGGAACGUGCCCAGUAGUGGGGGAUAGCUCGGCGAAAGCCGGAUUAAUACCGCAUACGACCUGAGGGUGAAAGCGGGGGAUCUUCGGACCUCGCGCUAUUGGAGCGGCCGAUGGCAGAUUAGCUAGUUGGUGGGGUAAAGGCCUACCAAGGCGACGAUCUGUAGCUGGUCUGAGAGGACGACCAGCCACACUGGGACUGAGCCACGGCCCAGACUCCUACGGGAGGCAGCAGUGGGGAAUUUUGGACAAUGGGCGAAAGCCUGAUCCAGCAAUGCCGCGUGUGUGAUGAAGGCCUUCGGGUUGUAAAGCACUUUUGGCAGGAACGAAAAGGACUGUGCCAAUACCACGGUUCGAUGACGGUACCCGCAGAAUAAGCACCGGCUAACUACGUG